rnacentral:rRNA from 1 species
AUGAACGCUGGCGGCGUGCUUAACACAUGCAAGUCGAACGAAGCACUUUAUUUGAUUUCCUUCGGGACUGAUUAUUUUGUGACUGAGUGGCGGACGGGUGAGUAACGCGUGGGUAACCUGCCUUGUACAGGGGGAUAACAGUUGGAAACGGCUGCUAAUACCGCAUAAGCGCACGGCAUCGCAUGAUGCAGUGUGAAAAACUCCGGUGGUAUAAGAUGGACCCGCGUUGGAUUAGCUAGUUGGUGAGGUAACGGCCCACCAAGGCGACGAUCCAUAGCCGACCUGAGAGGGUGACCGGCCACAUUGGGACUGAGACGCGGCCCAAACUCCUACGGGAGGCAGCAGUGGGGAAUAUUGCACAAUGGGCGAAAGCCUGAUGCAGCGACGCCGCGUGAGCGAAGAAGUAUUUCGGUAUGUAAAGCUCUAUCAGCAGGGAAGAUAAUGACGGUACCUGACGAAGAAGCACCGGCUAAAUACGUG